AAUUCCCCUGACUGUUGUGACACUAUGUUUCUUUCAUGCGAGGUAACCAGAUCAUCACACUUCCUUUUGAGGAAACUGACUUUAAUGUGGAGUACUAAGAUAUUAUGAGUUUUGUUGUAUCACAUUUAGGUGGGAUUAUGUUUAUAUGUGAAGAAAGAGCCAACUGUUGUUGAAAAUUUUAUCAUGGACAACAUAGGCUACUGCGAUUACAUAAACAAUUUUCCAACAUUUUCACACCAAAGUGUUGCUGUAGCAACCAGAUUGUUGGUCGCUACAACUAAUGUACAUACCAGAUUGGAGUACUGUUAGGUAUAUAGGUGUCAUAUAUGUGUUUGUAUUGUAUUUCUUGUACCCCAAGCAUAUGCGGCCUAUAUAAUGAAAUGUCACCCCCCCUCCUAGGGUUUGUGGUGUUUUCCUAAUUCUCUACAUGGUAUCACGAGUCUGGGCCUCCCUCCCGGCCCUACCGUGCGCCCACCCCCUUCCGCUGCCCUAGCCGCCGAUCAUGGAUCCCCCCAUCGGCACCACUCCUCCACCUCCAUGCGCCCUACCCUAGGGCGCCUCCACACCACCUGCCGUCGCCUCUUCUUGUGCGUGGCACCCCCUAUGCACCACGCGCUCUUCAGAUUGCAUCUGCAAUCAUGUCCACCUUCUCCGCCACAUCCAUGGCGACUGGCGCCCCCACCAUGCCCUCCUCUUUGGAUCCAUCGGCCGGCGCCCUCGUCCUUCUCCCCUACUCCAUGAUGUGCCUCAAAUCUCACGUCCCCAUGACGUUGGAUCUCCCGAACUCCAACUACAACAAUUCGGGCUUCUUCAUCACAUCGAUGGCUUCGUUCCUCCUUGCCGCAAUGAUCCCUCUUGGGAACAAGUGGACUGCUGUGUGCGCAUGUGGCUCUACGGCUCCAUCUCCGAAUCUGUUCUUGACUUCACCAUGGCCGAAGAUUAGACGGCGCGACAACUUUGGGUGGCCAUCACCAAGUUCCAGCCCAACCAAGCGCCCCGUGCUAUCUUCCUGAGCGAAGAUUUUCACUCCAUGACUCAGGGUGAUCUCUCUAUCAUGGAGUUUGGCAAGAAGAUGAAGAUGGCCGCCGAUGCACUACGAGACGUCGGCCACCCCGUGAUCGAGGCUACCCUAGUGCUGAAUCUGCUGCGCGAUAUGCAUCCCAAGUUCAGCAACACAAAGGACAUCGUCGCCGGCACCAAGAACAUCAGCUUCGACGAAGCCCUUGAUCAGUUCACCCUCAAGGAGCUCCUUCGCCUGGCAAACUAGGCGAAGAUCCUUUCCUCCACGGCGUUGGUGGCCUCCACCACGAGCUGCGGAUCGUCAUGCCGCUCCUCUUCGGCUGCGCCGCCACAACAGCAGCCACCGCAGCAGCAGCAGCGCGGCGCAGGAAGAAGGGCGGCAACGGCGGCAGUGGUGGCCCCUAGUAGCAGCAGCAACUGCGCGAGCCUACUCCCACUGGCCUAUGGUUCUGCUUCUCCCCGUGGGGAUCAUCUGGCGGCCAGGGCGGGCCCUUGACAAGCGGAGGCGGCCCCUGGACUGGCACUUCGGGCGGGAACACGGCAUGGCGCGGUCAGGGCCUGCAAGGACCAGCUCCACAGCAGGCCUACACCGCGUUCGCCCCACUGUAGGACUCCACGCCGCCUCAACAGCAGUACCAGCAGCAGCCCGCACAUACAUGGGACCAGGCGGGUCUCAUUGCGGAGUUGCAACAGAUGCAGCUGCAGGGCUCCUCUUCAUGGGUGAUGGACUCGGGCGCCUCCAGUCACAUGCACUCCUCGGAUGUUAUACUUCUCUCUCGCUCACCUGCUUCGCAUGUUUCUAUGUCAGUAGGCAAUAGUUCACAUAUUCCCGUUACGUCUCGAGGUCAUUCCAUCUUACCACUCCUGCAUCAAACUUUGCCCUUAAUAAUGCUCUCAUUGUUCCUUCUAUCGUCUGCAAUCUUCUGUCUAUUCGUCAAUUCACUCGUGACAACAACUGCUUGAUAGAAUUUGAUGCCCUUGGUUUCUCUGUGAAGGACCUUAGGACGAAGCGCGUGAUUCUUCGUUGCAAUAGUGAUGGCGACCUCUACACCAUAUCUGCUGCCACUCCUAGCACCGCCCAGGCCCUUCUUGGCUUCUAUCUUCAUCGUCUUCUUUGUGGUACCAGCGUCUUGGUCACCUGGGUCCAACCACCAUUGCCAGCCUCGGAAACAGUCAUUCCAUAGCUUGUAAUAAACUAGGCCGCACAAUUUGUCACGCAUGUCAGCUUGGCAAACAUGCUCGUCUACCUUUCCCUACUUCUACUUCACAUACUGUUUCUCCUUUUGAGAUUAUUCAUUGUGAUGUUUGGACAUCUUCGGUUCCUAGCAUUUCAAGCUACUCAUAUUAUUUGGUUAUGCUGGAUGAUUCUUCUCAGUUUUGCUGGACUUUCCCUCUUCAUCGAAAGUCUGAUGUGCACGGUCACAUGGACAUGGUUGAUUUCAUUGCUUACGCUAGCGCAUAGAUUGGCCUUCCUAUCAAAUGCUUUCAGGCUAAUAAUGGCACUGAGUUCGUCAACAAGUCCACCAUAUCGCACCUGGUGGCUAAUGGGAUCUUGUUUCGACUUUCCUGUCCAUAUACCUCACCCCAAAACGGCAAGGCCGAGCGUGUUCUUCGUACCCUCAACAACUCCGUGCGCGCACUCCUCAUCCAUGCAUCCAUGCCGCCUCCAUACUGGGUCGAGGCCCUUGCUGUAGCCACACAUUUGCUAAACUGUCGCCCUUCGUCUUCUAUCAAUGAUGAAGUCCCGUAACGCACCUCCACUGUACUCCUAGUUACAAUCACCUCCGUGUCUUUGGAUGCCUUUGCUACCCCAACCUUCAGGCUACCUCCCCACACAAACUCACUCCUCGCUCAACCGCAUCUGUGUUUAUGGGAUACCCCUCCUCUCACAAGGGAUAUCGCUGCCUUGAUCUUUCUACAAGGCGCAUCAUCAUCUCCCGACGCGUCGUCUUUGAUGAGUUCUCUUUUCCCUUUGCUUGGGAUACGCCUGGUCCACAGUCCUCCUUGGAUUUCCUCCUCGAUGACGCUUCGGAUGUUGUGCAUUGUCCUACUAACCAUGCAGCAGGUUCGACGUGUUUGAGUUCUGUCCCUACAGCGGCAGCUCCAUCCUCCAUGGAUGUUGAGCAAUUGCUCCCUGCUACCAAUCCGGGCAUAAGUGGUCUCGUGCCCUUGCCAGGACCUGCUCCGCCCUCUUCAGCAGCUGCUACACCAGCACCUGCACGAGCUGUUACAGCAGCAUCUGCGUCUGCUCCCGUUGUUGCAGCAGCACCGGCGUCUGCUGCUGCGGUUGUGACAGCACCUGCUGCUCCACCUGGUUACUUCGACCGUGCCUACAUCCGCCGCUGUAAUGGGCCUCUUCCAGUGCGGCGAUUCCCUGCGCCAACACAGGUGGGGGUGCUGCAGCCACCCGUGCGGGCCUUCUCCGCCUCCCAUAUUGAGGCGGAUCACUCGUCUUCAGACUGGUACCAUUAAGCCUGUCAACUAUCCGAAUCAGUUGAUCAUAUUGUUGCUUCUCCUGUUCUGGCCAAUUAUCGCCGUGCACUUGCUGAUCCAAACUGGAGAGCAGCUAUGGUAGAUGAAUUCCAGGCUAUGGUAGACAAUGGUACUUGGCAUCUCGUUCCUCGCCCUCAUGGUGCGAAUGUUGUGACAGAAAAGUGGAUUUUCAAGCAUAAAUUUCACUCUGAUGGUUCUCUUUCUCGUCACAAGGCUCGUUGGGUUGUUUGGGGAUUUUUUUAGGGCGUUGUUCGGGAUUCUCUUAGCAGCAUGGCAUUGACUACGAUGAGACUUUCAGUAUAGUCAUCAAACCUGGUACCAUCCGGACGGUUCUGAGUACUGCAGAUUCUCGCUAAUGGCCGAUUCAUCAGCUUGAUGUGAAGAAUGAUUUUCUUCAUGGCCAUCUCGACGAGACAAUCUAUUGCUAGCAACCUUCAGGUUUUGUUGAUCCAACCUUCCCUGAUCAUGUCUGUCUCCUGCAGAAGUCGCUCUAUAGCCUGAAGUAGGUACCUCCCUGUUUGUCUACAAGGAUGGCGCCAAUAUUGACUAUCUGUUGUUAUAUGGACGACAUUGUUCUGACUGCUUCAUCGUCUGCUAUGCUUCAUGACAUCAUUGGUUCUUCAGAUGGGUUGUUCUUGUCUCAGCGACAGUAUGCCUUGGACCUUGGUAUGCCCUAGAAGGAUCAUUGGUUCAGUGCGCAGGUAUGAUUGAGUGCCACUCUACGACGACGCCUGUGGAUACCAACGCCAAGCUGUUAGCCACAGAUGGAGCACCGGUUGUUGAUCCUUCUAAGUAUAGAAGUUUGGCUGGUGCCCUUUAGUAUCUCACCCUAACUCGUCCUGAUCUUGCAUAUGCUGUUCAGCAAGUCUGUUUAUUCAUGCAAGAUCCACGCGAUCCCCAUCUUGCGCUUGUCAAGCGCAUCCUGUGGUAUGUGAAAGGCACACUCUCGUCCGGCUUCACAUUGGCACUGGACCUGUCGACACCCUUAUAGCUUACAUAGUGCAGAUUGGGCUAGCUGUCCUGAUUCUAGGCGUUCUACUUCGGGCUACUGUGUUUUUCUUGGUGAUACUCUGUUUCUUGGUCGUCCAAGAGGCAGACUACAGUUUCUCGUUCUAGUGCUGAGGCGGAAUACAGAGCAGUGGCUCAUGUUGUGGAUGUGUGGCCGAGUGUUGCUGGUUGCGACAACUUCCCCAGGAGCAUCACAUCACUUUCUCGAAGGCUACGCUUGUCUAUUGUGACAACAUCAGUGUUGUCUAUAUGACUUCGUGCGGCUUUGGGGCAAGUUCGUGUUCUACAUGUGCCUUCCUUCGCAUCAGUUUGCUGAUAUAAUGACUAAGGGUCUUCAUGUACAUUACUGAUUUUAGAUCCAGUCUUGGUGUCUGACAGGCUCCCCCCUGCGACUGCGGGUGGGUGUUAGAUAUAUAGGUGUUGUAUAUGUGCUUGUAUUGUAUUUCUUGUACCCCAGGCCUAUACGGUCUA